UGGGGAAUAUUGGACAAUGGGGGCAACCCUGAUCCAGCGACGCCGCGUGUGUGAAGAAGGCCUGCGGGUUGUAAAGCACUUUUAGUGGGGAUGAAAAGCACAUUGCUAAUACCAGUGUGUCUUGACCUAACCCAAAGAAAAAGCACCGGCUAACUCUGUGCCAGCAGCCGCGGUAAUACAGAGGGUGCGAGCGUUAAUCGGAAUUACUGGGCGUAAAGCGUGCGUAGACGGUUAUUUAAGUCGGGUGUGAAAGCCCCGGGCUCAACCUGGGAAUUGCAUUCGAGACUGAAUAGCUAGGGUACGGUAGAGGGAAGUGGAAUUUCCGGUGUAGCGGUGAAAUGCGUAGAUAUCGGAAGGAACAUCAGUGGCGAAAGCGACUUCCUGGACCAGUACCGACGUUCAGGCACGAAAGCGUGGGGAGCAA
rnacentral:rRNA from 1 species